CCUACGGGAGGCAGCAGUGAGGAAUAUUGGUCAAUGGGCGAGAGCCUGAACCAGCCAAGUCGCGUGAGGGAGUACUGCCCUAUGGGUUGUAAACCUCUUUUGUCGGGGAGCAAAAGCCGGACGUGUCCGGCUGUGAGAGUACCCGAAGAAAAAGCAUCGGCUAACUCCGUGCCAGCAGCCGCGGUAAUACGGGGGAUGCGAGCGUUAUCCGGAUUUAUGGGGUUUAAAGGGUGCGCAGGCGGAUUUUUAAGUCAGCGGUCAAAUCGUGGGGCUCAACCCCAUCCAGCCGUUGAAACUGGGGAUCUAGAGUGUGCGAGAGGUAUGCGGAAUGCGUGGUGUAGCGGUGAAAUGCAUAGAUAUCACGCAGAACACCGAUUGCGAAGGCAGCAUACCGGUGCACAACUGACGCUCAGGCACGAAAGCGUGGGUAUCGAACAGGAUUAGAUACCCGAGUAGUC
rnacentral:rRNA from 1 species